GUGGAUUAGUUACCCUGGUAGUCCACGCAGUAAACGAUGAAUACUAGCUGUUGGCGAUAUAAUGUCAGCGGUAAAGCGAAAGUGUUAAGUAUUCCACCUGGGGAGUACGCCGGCAACGGUGAAACUCAAAGGAAUUGACGGGGGCCCGCACAAGCGGAGGAACAUGUGGUUUAAUUCGAUGAUACGCGAGGAACCUUACCCGGGCUUGAAAGUUAGUGACGGACUUGGAAACAGGUCUUUCCUUCGGGACACGAAACUAGGUGCUGCACGGCCGUCGCCAGCU
rnacentral:rRNA from 1 species